UAAUAAGAGUAAAAAACGCCCGGGUGGCGCUGAGAAGCAUCGGGAAAAAAAUCUGAAGUCUGUGGAGGUGGAGGCUGCUACAUGUGCCAAACUGACGGACCUGUUUGGUGCCGGGUUCACCAGCCCAGCAGCAGCAGGUGCGCCGGGAGACGAGCGAGGAGGACUCGACAAUGAUGAGCGAGUGGAGGCAGACAUGGUUGUUGUGAUAUAUUUGAGGAGUCGUUCUCCCUCUGUUUUAUAUGUGGACAUUUGGGACCACUGUUAGAAUUUGGUUGACCACUUGACAUGUGAGAGCCUGAGGAGUUGUUCACCCUCUGUCCAUGCUCGAGGACUUGCUCUCUGUCUGCCUCCACUCUCUGCCUUCACUGUACCAAAGUUUGUCUGUUG